rnacentral:rRNA from 1 species
UACGUAGGGUGCAAGCGUUGUCCGGAAUUACUGGGCGUAAAGAGCUCGUAGGUGGUUUGUCGCGUUGUUCGUGAAAACUCACAACUCAAUUGUGGGCGUGCGGGCGAUACGGGCAGACUGGAGUACUGCAGGGGAGACUGGAAUUCCUGGUGUAGCGGUGGAAUGCGCAGAUAUCAGGAGGAACACCGGUGGCGAAGGCGGGUCUCUGGGCAGUAACUGACGCUGGAGGAGCGAAAGCGUGGGGAGCGAACAGG